CCCUUAUGCCUUGUAAGGGUGUCAACUUUGUCUUUUUGUCUUUUAAAUGGGAACACAUAUUUUGAAUAUAAUAAAAUGUUUGGAUUUUUAAUUAAAUAGUAAAUGGCAUUUGAAUUUUUAAUAUAACUUUAUUAGUUUAUUAGAUAUAAACAUUUAAAGUUUCAAAUUUUUGAGUUAAUAUACAUGUAUAAUACACAUGAUGAUAUGAUUACAAAUACAGGUAGCUAAAUGGUUUAUAUGAUAUCAAUGUCGCAGUCACGGAUUGUUUAUUAUCAAUUAUGACUAUCAUAGAUAUACUUUCUGUAUUGUCAGUUAGUGUAUUUAUAAACUCACAACAAUGUGCCUUACUACCAUUGAUAAUAACAAUGCUGUGUACCUGCUAAUUUCUUUGAAGUUGUUUUAAACAAAGUAACUCAUAACUAAAUACUUUAUUUAUAAUAAGUAAACAAAUAAUAAAAUCUCCUUUCAGUAUUGAUGUUCGUAAAUUACUUGCUUUUGAUGAUGUUUCAGUGUCAUUCCACUUCGAAAUUAUAAAUAACGAUUCAAUUAGGUACACAAAAAGCUCAAGAAAAUCAUUGACAGCAUAAAAACGUUCAACUUAUUUUGUCGCGCAUAAUUGUUUUAAUGAUUUUUUAGUUAUACAUUUUUGACUUUCUUCGAUUUGACUUUUCAACACAUCUUUUCGCUUUGGAAGAUGAAUAAGAAAUAGCAAGGUUUAAAACAUGAACAGCACAAUGAACAAACGUCGCAAGCGGAUAACUUUGGUGAAUAAGAGAUUGAGCUCCGUUAAAUUGACCAGACAUAGAAGCACAUCCAUCGUAACACUGUCCUCUAAGUAGUAUCUGUUGUAGGCACAAACUGAAAAAUUCUUCCUUGAUAAUCAUAUUUUCAACAUCUAAAUAUCGAACACACAAAGUUACUUGUUCGCUUCCACCAAUGUCGGCCGUUUCAUCAGCAAGUAUUUUGAAACAUCUUUGGGCAUUUAUGUUUGUUACGAUUUUAUUUAAAAUAAUUUUAUUACAGGAUUCAAUUAUUUCAUUUUGAAGUGUUUCACUUGUAUAUUUUAUUGUUUCUUCAGCUUCCAAAAAUGAUUUUAAACGGUCAUCUCCUUGGGCUCUGUAUCUUAAUAUUUCUCUAAAAUUUCCUUGAUUUUCUUGGAUAAUUUGUCAUUUUCUUGAUAUAUAUUGAAGUUACAAAGAUAGCCGUUAUUGUCAAAAAAAAAAAAAAAAUAAUAAUAAUAACAUUAAAAAUGCAAAUAAUAAUUAAACCUAUAAGGUAGUUAAACCCUAAAGUUAUUUUCGAUUUGUUAAAGUCGUUAAAAUUAAUUCAAAUCUCCUGUUAUUUUCUUUUAUCAGAAUUAUUAUGUCAUUAAUUCAAUUAUUAAUUAAAUUGUUAAACUAUAUUAUAUAUUCAACUUAAUAAAUUUUUAUGUUGAUUAUAAUCGCAUGGCAUGAUGUUUUUUGUUAAUAACUAAAUGGAAAUAGCAAUUUCACAUGGGCAAAAUUUUUAAUAGUUGCAAGAGAAUAAAUCCAAACGUUGAUAUUUUAUUUCAUACAGAUUAAAUUUUAUAUGCAUAAAUAUUCUGUUAACCGAUAUCAAAUUUAUUCCACUUGAACUUUCAUAAAAAAAUCUCUAUCAUUUGUAAACUAAUGUAAUAAAUAAACAAACAAAU